rnacentral:rRNA from 1 species
UACGAGGGGAGCAAGCGUUGUUCGGAUUCACUGGGCGUAAAGGGUGCGUAGGUGGCGAGGUAAGUCGGAUGUGAAAGCUCGGAGCUCAACUCCGAAAUGGCAUUGGAAACUACCUUGCUCGAGGGUUGGAGGGGGGACUGGAAUUCUCGGUGUAGCAGUGAAAUGCGUAGAUAUCGAGAGGAACACCAGUGGCGAAGGCGAGUCCCUGGACAACUCCUGACACUGAGGCACGAAAGCUAGGGGAGCAAACAGG